AUUCAGCUGACGAGUCCCAAAUAGGACGGAACGCGCAUCGUGGAU
rnacentral:hammerhead_ribozyme from 1 species